GGCGAACGGCUGAGUAACACGUGGGCAACCUGCCCUUUGCACUGGGAUAGCCUCGGGAAACCGAGGUUAAUACCGGAUACUCCAUAUUUGUCGCAUGGCGAAUAUGGGAAAGCUCCGGCGGCAAAGGAUGGGCCCGCGGCCUGUUAGCUAGUUGGUGGGGUAGUGGCCUACCAAGGCAAUGAUGGGUAGCCGGGUUGAGAGACCGACCGGCCAGAUUGGGACUGAGACACGGCCCAGACUCCUACGGGAGGCAGCAGCU
rnacentral:rRNA from 1 species